GAUGAACGCUAGCGGCAGGCUUAAUACAUGCAAGUCGAACGGGAUUGAGAAGCUUGCUUUUCAUGAGAGUGGCGCACGGGUGCGUAACACGUAUGCAACCUACCUUGUCCAGGGGGAUAGCCCGUUGAAAGACGGAUUAAGACCGCAUAACAUUGAGCUGUGGCAUCACAAAUCAAUCAAAUAUUUAUAGGGACAAGAUGGGCAUGCGCCUGAUUAGGUAGUUGGCGGGGUAAUGGCCAACCAAGCCGACGAUCAGUAGGGGAUCUGGGAGGAUGACCCCCCACACUGGUACUGAGACACGGACCAGACUCCUACGGGAGGCAGCAGUAAGGAGUAUUGGUCAAUGGGCGAAAGCCUGAACCAGCCAUGCCGCGUGCAGGAAGACGGCCCUACGGGUUGUAAACUGCUUUUAUACGGGAAUAACCCCGGUUUCGUGAAACCGGCUGAAUGUACCGUAAGAAUAAGGAUCGGCUAACUCCGUGCCAGCCGCCGCCGUAA
rnacentral:rRNA from 1 species